GCGCCCGUAGCUCAGCAGGAUAGAGCACCGGUUUCCUAAACCGGGGGUCGUGGGUUCGAAUCCCGCCGGGCGCACCA
rnacentral:tRNA from 2 species